UGUUCCGCAUGUCACAUUUAACGAACACCUUGCGAAAAUGGAUAAAGCAGCAUGGCACAAGAUGAGCGGUCUUAGUUUUACAAACAUGUGUAUUAACAUAUAUAGGCCUACUAUAACUUAGAAGAAAGAAGACAAGAACAACGUUAUCACGUUUAAGUUACGUAGGAGCAAGGCUACGAGGUGUCAAGGCUCGGUCUGAUCUAGGAUAAAGCCCCGUUUUUAACCAUGACGGACCUGUAGCCUAUUUAAGAGGACUUUGCGGUGCACAAGACUUGCAGAUUAACUAAUGGUUAUCCACCUCUUUGAUGCCAGCUGAAGGGGAGCGAGCAAAACAGGAACAGGGAAAGAUGGAGUGCAACGGAGAUGAGGGGAUGGGGAUGGAAAGACGGAAGAAAGUAAUACAAAGAGACAUGCGUGGAUGAAAGAAGCAAAUCCCUCAUAACCAUGAAUUAUCGGUGUGUGGCAAUGUGCGAGAAAGAGUCUUCAUCACCACUGUUGAUAUACGCACAACCUCAUUCGAAAGCACAAAGAGCACUUUGCACGGGCAGACAUUAUCAACCGUACUCUUAACUCAACAAAGACUGGAAUGAAAAGAAGCAACCACGUAUUGUACAAUAAAAGCUGCCAGUAAUUACGUUCCAAUUUUCACUUUAACAACACUGUACUUCAUUGACAUCAUGUUCAAUUAAAACUGCAUUUCUGCUCGCAGUGAAUGUAGAAUGUAUUUGAAUAGCUGAAUACAUAAUGCACAAAUACAAACAUCUGUAAGGAGAGAUAUUGUUAUGAAGUUCUACAUUGUUUGGAUAAGGAUAAAAACAUUGGCAGAUGAGAGAUGCAAUGGUGGCCUUGCAUUAUAAUUAUAAGAUGUAAGCACUUAAAGGACAAUUGAGACAGCCAUUAUCCUCCUUGUUAUGCUUUCAGCCAAUCUCGUACUGCGUGGAGAUAUUUUCAUCCCUUCACCAAUGAUGAUAUGCCAACACCUUCCUUUGGGUAAAUAUCUCAUUGUUUUUAAAGGUCAUGUCCCAAAUACCGAUUCAUAGCGCAUGCAAAAGGGCAGAUGUUCUUCAAUCAAACCCCAGCUAAGGUCAUUUGCACAGAGAAAAAUCCAUCUCUACACUGUAUCUGUUAUCUAUAAUCUUCUAACCAUCCGUGCAUCUUAUCUGUUUUCCAUCUGUGUGGAUUAGCGCCUAUCAGCAGGGCAAAGGGUGAUUUCAGUGAAGCUCUUGAGUUAUGCUUUCAAUACAGUAUACUGCGAUACAUUUACUGUAAUUUGUUUCUUGCACUAGAUCUACUUCAAUUGAAUUUGAAUUAAUAUGCUCAAUAAUAUCAAUGUCAAGAAACAAUAUGUGUUUAUGUUAACAUGCUGAUAUGCAUUCCCCUGUAGCAAUAUGUGCAUUCCUGCAAGGUAAACUCAUCCACAUGCUCAGCUCCUCUUCAGCUCUACUGAAAGCUGCACACACAGACGGGAAAGGCUGACGGGGCUCCACUCAAACUGUCAAACUGCAUCUUCAACUUAAAUGGUGUUUUUACUUCAGUUAGUGCUGUUUUGCUUUUGAAAUGACACUUUGGAGCUGAAUCAUAGAUUUAAAUAUUCAGCCUUCACAUUUAGUCACUUGUUUAUGAAAAAGGGUUUGUGAGGGAGUUGUUUUGAAAAGAUAUUCAUGAAUAAUGCACAGAAGAAGAUGUGUCAGAAAGAGAGCUGUAUAAUCUCAAUGCAGAAGCACGAGUGAUUUGAAUUAUAAACAAUUUCACUUUACAGUCUUGUACAGUGUUCUUAAAAAUAAAAAAUAGUAACCACUGUUUACUCAGUCCCGCCUUCACUCUCGCUGCUCUUGUCAAUCUUUUCAUUCCAGCGAGUUUACAGUAAUAAUGUUGACAGAUAAGUCACUUAAAACUAAAAAAUUGUCACUUGAAGUCGGACAGAUGGAACAAAAAUAAUUGUGUUGUUAA